AGCGAACGCUGGCGGCAGGCUUAACACAUGCAAGUCGAGCGGGCAUCUUCGGAUGUCAGCGGCAGACGGGUGAGUAACACGUGGGAACGUACCCUUCGGUUCGGAACAACUCUGGGAAACUGGAGCUAAUACCGGAUACGCCCUUAUGGGAAAAGGUUUACUGCCGAAGGAUCGGCCCGCGUCUGAUUCGCUAGUUGGUGGGGUAACGGCCUACCAAGGCGACGAUCAGUAGCUGGUCUGAGAGGAUGAUCAGCCACACUGGGACUGAGACACGGCCCAGACUCCUACGGAAGGCAGCAGGGGGGAAAAUUGGACAAUGGGCGCAAGCCUGACCCAGCCAGGCCGCGGGAGUGAUGAAGGCCUUAGGGUUGUAAAGCUCUUUUGUCCGGGACGAUAAUGACGGUACCGGAAGAAUAAGCCCCGGCUAACUUCGU
rnacentral:rRNA from 1 species